rnacentral:rRNA from 1 species
GGGUUGUGAGGUUAAGCGACUAAGCGUACACGGUGGAUGCCCUGGCAGUCAGAGGCGAUGAAGGACGUGCUAAUCUGCGAUAAGCGUCGGUGAGGUGAUAUGAACCGUUAUAACCGGCGAUUUCCGAAUGGGGAAACCCAGUGUGUUUCGACACACUAUCAUUAACUGAAUCCAUAGGUUAAUGAGGCGAACCGGGGGAACUGAAACAUCUAAGUACCCCGAGGAAAAGAAAUCAACCGAGAUUCCCCCAGUAGCGGCGAGCGAACGGGGAGGAGCCCAGAGCCUG